AAAGAAUGUAUCUUUACACUGUUUAUAACCAAUGUUUAACCGUCCAUCUUAUUUGAAAAAAGUAUGAUUAGUAUUUUUAUUUUUAUUAGAUGAUAAAACAUAAAUAAUAAUUUAUGUGUGACUAAUUGCUUUUAAAUUUUCUUAUAAAGAUUUCAAAUAAGAUUGGCAGUCGAACGUUGGAUACGAAAACCCAUAAAUACACUUAAA
rfam:Oryza rufipogon genomic scaffold, chr06